rnacentral:rRNA from 1 species
AUUGAACGCUGGCGGCAGGCCUAACACAUGCAAGUCGAGCGGAUGAAGGGAGCUUGCUCCUGGAUUCAGCGGCGGACGGGUGAGUAAUGCCUAGGAAUCUGCCUGCUCUGGGGGGAUAACGUCCGGAAACGGGCGCUAAUACCGCAUCCGUCCUGAGGGAGAAAGUGGGGGUUCUUCGGACCUCACGCUAUCAGAUGAGCCUAGGUCGGAUUAGCUAGUUGGUGGGGUAAAGGCCUACCAAGGCGACGAUCCGUAACUGGUCUGAGAGGAUGAUCAGUCACACUGGAACUGAGACACGGUCCAGACUCCUACGGGAGGCAGCAGUGGGGAAUAUUGGACAAUGGGCGAAAGCCUGAUCCAGCCAUGCCGCGUGUGUGAAGAGGGUCUUCGGAUUGUAAAGCACUUUAAGUUGGGAGGAAGGGCAGUAAGUUAAUACCUUGCUGUUUUGACGUUACCAACAGAAUAAGCACCGGCUAACUUCGUG